AUGAAAAUUCUAACCUUAAACUUCAAAGUCAUUCUUCUCAACCCACUUCAAAAUCGCAUUCCUGUAACUCACUCAAAACCCUUCACCAAUAAUCUCACCAUAUCCCUAAAUCUCCAUACAAACUACUCUCACAUUCGGAUUGCAGCCCCAAACCUCCAACCCUCUAUACACUCUUCAAUGAUCCUGCUUAGCACCCUUUCAUUACCAUCAAACUCAUACAUAACAACCUUUUUUCUCCCUUAA